UCCGUAGGUGAACCUGCGGAAGGAUCAUUACCGAGUUGAUUCGGGCUCCGGCCCGAUCCUCCCACCCUUUGUGUACCUACCUCUGUUGCUUUGGCGGGCCGCGGUCCUCCGCGGCCGCCCCCCUCCCCGGGGGGGUGGCCAGCGCCCGCCAGAGGACCAUCAAACUCCAGUCAGUAAACGAUGCAGUCUGAAAAACAUUUAAUAAACUAAAACUUUCAACAACGGAUCUCUUGGUUCUGGCAUCGAUGAAGAACGCAGCGAAAUGCGAUAAGUAAUGUGAAUUGCAGAAUUCAGUGAAUCAUCGAAUCUUUGAACGCACAUUGCGCCCUUUGGUAUUCCGAAGGGCAUGCCUGUUCGAGCGUCAUUACAACCCUCAAGCUCUGCUUGGUAUUGGGCACCGUCCUUUGCGGGCGCGCCUCAAAGACCUCGGCGGUGGCGUCUUGCCUCAAGCGUAGUAGAACAUACAUCUCGCUUCGGAGCAGCAGGGCGUCGCCCGCCGGACGAACCUUCUGAACUUUUCUCAAGGUUGACCUCGGAUCAGGUAGGGAUACCCGCUGAACUUAAGCAUAUCAAUAAGCGGAGGA
rnacentral:rRNA from 1 species